rnacentral:hammerhead_ribozyme from 1 species
AUCCAGCUGACGAGUCCCAAAUCGAACGAAACGUGCGUCCUGGAU